UGCUUUGUUGCUGAAAAGUGCUAAAUAAAUAAACUUGACUUGACUUGUAAAUUAGCUCUGAGGUCUAAGGGGCGAAGGAGGAGGUUCUCACCCAGGAUUCAUCAAAGAACCACCACCAGCUGGGUUCCUUGGUCUUCAUGAUGCUGCUGGUUCUCCAACAAACCUCUGAGUAGACCCGGAUCGACAACUGUUUGAGACUCUCUCCCUCUCUGUAUCUGUCCUGUCUGUCUAUGAGACAAGGACAGGAGGACACAGACAAGGGAAGCAACCCUUUGAUGAAGUCCAUGAAUUCAGCAGCAGGACCUGGAUCGGUUUGGUCAGGACUCAGUACUUGUUCACGUUUUGUUUGGCUCUUCUUGCCAGAGUAUUUUUAUAUUCAGGUUGUGAUACUUUUUGACAUUUUUGUAAAAAAGCAAAUGUUGCUGUUGUUUUAAAAACUUAUACUAUUUUGUUAUACUGCUGUUUGUCGGCUUUAAUAUGACAAUGAAAUUAAGUCAUUUUAAAAAGUAUUUCCUUGAAGUUACAAAAAUGACUGACAAUUAUCGCGAGUUUUUUAAAUAAAGGUGAAUAUUUCUACUUCAACUGCUAGCAAUAGCCAAAGUAUGCAGAGUCAGUUCAGUUACUGUUGAAAUCACAA